ACGAGAGUUUUAAGAUCUUCGAUCGACCCGGGGGAAAAACUCAGGGGAGUGGGAGAACGAAAAUCCACCAAUCGCCGUCAUGUGCAGUGACCAAUUGCACUUCCGCGUGCCCACGCUUCGCAAAAGUCGUUCCUUGAGGAAAAGAGUGGGCAAAGAAAACUCCGCCAUUGCUCAACGGGUCCGAUGAGUAAACAGCGAUUCUUCCACCGGGACUUAUCUCAACGUAUGAGAAAUGGAAAAGAAAAACAUAAAAGAGUCGACGAGAUUGUCAGGAUUGAAGGAUUGAUAGUGUCAGGGCUUGUGAUUCUCGAAGGAAGUAAGGACGGCCAGAUUAUCGCGAAUGAACGAACUGCAGUGCUCAGGGUCAGAGUUGCUCAGAGGAAAAUUCAUCGAGAGGAGAGAAAAUGGAGUCCCUCGAGUUCAUGUCUCGAAGUAAAAAAAUACUAUGGAAGAAUACUGGACGAAAAACGAUUUGAAAGGGGAAGUCAAGGAAAUGUGGGCGAGGAUGAGAUGUGGCAACAUGGGAAAAAUGGGCAACAAGGGAUACAGGAACACCGAGUGUCGCAUAUGAAUUCAUUUCAUCCCUUAAAUAUGCGAGUGGGCGUACAGAUCGUGGGGGUACAAUAAGGUGACUUUUCUUGUGAUUACUGGAGUUUUAGUGGAAUCAAUUAAUUGACGAAUAAAAUGUUUUUUUUUGUCUACAGUCUUAGCUGGAAAUAUUCGAAUUCGUAUAAGUGUGACCGGGCCUCGAGGAAAAUCAUUUCAAAAUAAUGCAGCGAGUGUUAAAAAGAUGAGAAAA
rnacentral:lncRNA from 1 species